rnacentral:misc_RNA from 1 species
AACGCACGAGACCUGCGGACCUGCGGAGGGAUCAUUACUGGAUCGUCGAAAGACGUCUCCUUCUACACCAUUGUGAACCUACCUAUCUGUCGUGCUUCGGCGGGCGAUUCCCCAUUCGUGGGCGUCUCCCAGGCCUUCCCAGGUGCCUGCCGGAGUGCAGAAAACAGAAACUAGAAUGCUGUCUUAGUGGAAUCUUCAGAUCAAACCAAAAGAAAAUAUUGUAACAACUUUCAACAACGG